AUAUUUCACGCUUUGUUAACCAGGAGUCGGACUUAGAUUUUGUGAGACCAUACAUCUAUUAUUCCGUUGACCGCGGAUUCGUUAUCGAACUUGAGGCCAUUGUCACUAGUGUCGCGAGUGCCCAAUCGCCGCGGUUAAUUGUCAAGAUUGUAACACAUCCAUCGCAGCAAUAAACUACACCUAUGUUGUACCGCAUCAAUGGCUAAUUCUCGUGAGGAUUCAUUUGACGCUCACAAUCCUAAUCCUAGUGCUUAUCCGACAUAUAUAUAUAUAUAUCGACUUUCAGUAUUCGGUGAACUGUCUUACCAGGUCUCUGAAGGCUUAUGCACUUUCUUAGCGGUAUCUUAGAAAAUGACAUCCUGUUUCCACAAUUCUUUAUCGUUCCUGAAGUGCAGGCACCAUGAUGUCUAACGAGGAACAGUAUAGGUGUCAAAUUCUGUGCAUAAAUCGGUUAUAAAUUCUUCGAUUUUGAAGCGGUCUUCUUCAAAUAUUGCAGGUUCACGUAUCUACACAUCCGUCAGGCUUUUCGUGUACGUGACACUUUCUCUAGUCUAGUUUCCGAAUUAGAAUCACGCUCAUAUUUCUGGGGAUUGUUUGUUGGUGUUCGAUGAUAAUAUGAUAAAUGUCUUUGUCUUUCAAUCGUUUAAUACCCAACAACUAAUCUUGGUCUCAUUGAAUUGUCCGCUUCAAUUCUUGUGGAGUAACAGAUCAGACAGAUUCAUCUCUUGGUGACAACUCUGCUUAUCCUUCCAAAGAAAUAAUAUACUAGUGAAAUAAUUGUAUUCAAUCGAAAUCAGGUUCUUUUGAACUAUAAUCAGGUUUUUUGAUUGACAGACAUUCAAUCUUAACUAAUACGGUUGUCAAACUUUCCCUACCUUAGUUUGCGAGUUAGAAUCGUUCUCAUAUUUCUGACGACCGUUUAUUUUUUAUUCGAUGAUAAUUGUUUUCGUCAAUCGUUCAUUUAAUACCCCUUAGUUAAUUUUCCAACUGGUUCAAACUAUAGUUUACAUGUUCCCAUGUCUCUAUUAGCCUUGGCCCUACUGUGAUCAAUACAGCUAACUGUUAAUAGUCUCGUUUACAAGGUAAAAUCGCUGUCAUAUUUCUGUCGAUUGCUUGUUUUGGUAUUCAAUGAUAAUCGUUGUCGUCACUCGUUCAUUUAAUACUCUUUACUUAAUCUUCCAGCUGGUUCAAACUACACGUCUCCACAUGUCUUUCUGACUACAUUCUGCUCAUUGCCGCAAACCGUUCGUGGUUUCAUUUAUGAGGUAAAAUCGCUUCCUUCUUCUUUUGCGACCGUAUUUUUGGUAUUGAAUAAUACGCGUUUUCGUUAGUCGUUCGUUUAAUAUUCAUCUAUUAAUUUUAUUACGGUUGAAAGUAUGACUUUGGAAGUAGAAUUUACACAUUUCCACAGGUUUGUUACUUUAGGCGGGGGAAGCACAUUUCUGGAGAGUGGAGAUCGAAGAGAUUCACUUCUUGAUUACACAGGUCCCAUCUGUUCGGAAAAUAGAAAAAAUAUUUUUUCUGGAAAGAAUCCUAGCGAUGUAGAAUUGAGUUCCGAUCUUUCAUGUCCUCUGUUGUCUUGUUUGGACUCAGAUGCUUCCUCAAACUUCGUUUGAUAUUGUUUCCGAUUUAACAUUUAACAUGGAAUUUUCUCCUGUUUCGAGUUUUCUCUCGUAGUAAUAAUGUCGCAUCCUCCAAAGUUCUGGAUUUCAGUGAUCCGUGUUGUUUGAAGAGAUGCUAGUAGAUAGUAACAAAAUAUGAUUCGUGUACAAAGGGUUAAGUAUGCAAAGAUAAUUAAUAUAAAAAGGCAAUUAAAGUAAAUUGCAUCUAAAACACAUUUCUCCCCAUUUUUUAAUUAUCCAGCUGCCUACGUAAAGAAUAACAGAACAUCAUCAGAAUAUAGAAUUAUCAAUUAUCACAAUAUGACAGUUUCACUUAACCCCCCCCCCCACCCCAAUAAUGAUAAUCCUAUUUAACACGGAUUCGCAAUUCUCAAGUAGAAAUAACUGCAACUUUAUCUGUAAUUAUAUGUAAUGAUGGGUUUGUUCAGGAACAUGGAAUAAGUAAGGGUUUAUGACAUUGCCGAUCGCACCCGAAGAGAGGUCUAGACCAAAAAAACUUGAAGGGCCGACAACGUCAUGAACCAUUCAGCAAAAGAAACAAAUUGUUACCCUUCACUCCCUCUUUGAGUAAUUAAUAGCGGGGCAAAGGGGAAAUUACGGGUCUUCUUGGGUUUUUUUUUGCGCAGUCUAUGACCAGAUACUAAAGGUCAGUCGUCAAAAACAGUUAUUUUUCGUUUUACGAAAAUCAAAGGUCGUGGUCUAACCAGCGGACACAAUAUAACGAUCGAUAUUCUGUAUCAUAUCCAGAAGGGACAAUCCCUUAAUAACCACGCAUUCAAAAGCUAAUACAGUCCACAUUAUGAUAAACUCCCUGGCCUAUACCUACUUUCGAAUAUUUGAACGCGUACAGGGUUUACUCAAAAAUAUGACUAGAUGUCGCGGUUAUUUUGAAUAUUACAAAAGCAGUCAAACAAUCAUUUAACACAUUUUAUUUUAAAAUUCUGUAUUGUCUUGGAAUAUAAUGUAUAUAAUGUAAAUUAUUAUUAAAUAAUCAGUCCUCAACCAAUCGGUGAGAACAAAGUGGUGAGAAAAAAAUUCAAUGAUAGAAAUGCUAAAAAUCAGUUCAUGUGACCGAAGUGGCUACGGCGAAAUAAACCCCACACUGGAUAUUUGAAUAAAUAAAUAUGCAUCAUCGAGAAGAAUGAGCGAGACAGAUUGAUCGAUUUUCACGAUGUGAAACGUGUGAAAUACGCGUCCACCUUGAAAGACGACGAAAGUUAAUAAAUACAGGCCACGAUCGACGUAUGUGUUAAUUUGUUAUCGACGGAAGUGAGAAAAACUAUUGGAUCGAAAAACAGCUGGAUUAGGGACGAAGAAACUUGGUCGAUGUCUGAAGCACUUCUGCAGACAAUUUAUUUAUCCAAUAGGAACGAUGAAACUUUUUCAAGCUUCAAGCUUUGUGAAAAAUAAUUCUGUCGAAAGCGUCGUAUUGAAACAAUGGGAUACGUCCAGUAGAUAGACGAUCCGUGGAAAUAAAAAGUAACCGUAAGCCUAGGAAAUGGACGCUUCUUAUUACUUUAGUGAUUUUCAUUAUUUGAACAAUUUAGUUAAGUAAUAAGUACGUACUUCCGUUAAAGAGGUGUUACGUUCAGCUUCAUGGAUUUUUCAAUGCAAGAUUGGAGAAAGCUUUUAAUACAAGUUGAUCGUAAAGAGAAGAUCUUCCGCAGUCAUCGUCUGUAACCACUCAAAGUGAUUUGUCCAUUAUAUUAGUCAAGUAUAAAACUGAUCCUAAGCUAUAGGAGGAAAAAAGAGAUUAUAAAAAAAUAAAUAUAUGAAAACUUGAAUUACAAGAAUUAGACUAUUUGGAUAUGAGGUGUAAGUGAGUGUCCGAGAUAAUAGUAGCUGCUGGCUGUAAAUGUCGCUGCUGGGGUACUGCUGUAUUUUAUUCCUAUUUAAGAAUCGUAGAAGAAUCGUAAUUUCUUCCUUUCCGAAGUCGGUUAAAAAUAUGGACCUAACAUACGAAUGCAGGACCAUGAGAGAGGAUAACAGUAUUGAAUAUGUAUGUACACGAUCGAUGUUUCAAGAAUCAUCUAAGUACAGACCAGGUAUAACAUGGUUCGUGAAAAAUCUAGGUAUAAGAGGACAUUUUGAGACAACACGUUUACUCAGAUCAUGGCAUCGAAGUAUAAGCAGAUUUCUCACCAAGAUGUAAAUCUGCUUGACUUGCCAUUAAAUGAGUUGAAGCAGAAACCUAGACAUUAUCGACAAGAAUCCAGUAUAAUUGAUAUUGACUGGACAUCAAUUAAUGAGCCCAAGAGGCAGUCUUCCAAAACAUGACUCGCUACAUUGUCACCCACACGGAAAGCCUGACUGACAUGUGAGUACGUGUGAACAGAGCAACCGUUGAUUGUAAUUACGCUCCGUCAUGCCAUACUCGUAGGACGAGCAAUUCAAUCAACUAAUAAGCAAUAUUUUGUAAUUUCUCCUACAUAAAACUGUACUAAAAAGCAAGACAUAUGCACGUAUGAUAUUGAUCAAAUGUAAGAUAAGUUUUCUUAGCGCAUCCAAAUAGUAUACCGAAUCAGAGCAAUUAAAUACCUCAAUAGAAUGCUAUCUCGAUCAGUUCCUUAAAAAUUAUAAAUCUAAACUUCGCUAGAAAUAGGUAUACAAAAUAUUAUACUGCAUA